AAGGCUUUAGCUUAAUGAAAGCAUCUGAGUUGCAUUCAGAGGAUGUAAGGUAAUGUCUUGCAAGUUUUA
rnacentral:tRNA from 1 species